GAUGAACGCUGGCGGCGUGCCUAAUACAUGCCAGUCGAGCGAACGGACGAGAAGCUUGCUUCUCUGAUGUUAGCGGCGGACGGGUGAGUAACACGUGGAUAACCUACCUAUAAGACUGGGAUAACUUCGGGAAACCGGAGCUAAUACCGGAUAAUAUUUUGAACCGCAUGGUUCAAAAGUGAAAGACGGUCUUGCUGUCACUUAUAGAUGGAUCCGCGCUGCAUUAGCUAGUUGGUAAGGUAACGGCUUACCAAGGCAACGAUGCAUAGCCGACCUGAGAGGGUGAUGGGCCACACAAGGACCAAGACCCGGUCGAGAGGCCUACGGGAGGCAGAAGCAGGGAAUCUUCCGCCAUGGGCGAAUGCCUGACCGAGCAACGCCGCGUGAGUGAUGAAGGCCCUCGGUGCGUAAAGCUCUGUUAUGAGGGAAAAACAUAUGGGUAACUAACUGGGCACAUCUUGACGGUACCUAAACAGAACGCAACGGCUAACUUCGUG
rnacentral:rRNA from 1 species